UAGAGUUUGAUUCUGGCUCAGGACGAACGCUGGCGGCGCGCCUAACACAUGCAAGUCGAACGAGAAUCAGCUGAUGAAGUUUUCGAAUGGAUUCGGUUGAGGAAAGUGGCGAACGGGCGAGUAACGCGUGAGCAACCUACCUUGUACUGGGGGAUAACGUCGGGAAACCGGCGCUAAUACCGCAUAACAUUACGAUAGCGCAUGUUAUUGUAAUCAAAGCUUUAGUGGUACGAGACGGGCUCGCGUCCAAUUAGCUAGUUGGUGAGGUAAAGGCUCACCAAGGCGACGAUUGGUAGCCGAACUGAGAGGUUGAUCGGCCGCAUUGGGACUGAGACACGGCCCAGACUCCUACGGGAGGCAGCAGUGGGGAAUAUUGCGCAAUGGGGGAAACCCUGACGCAGCGACGCCGCGUGAAGGAAGAAGGCCUUCGGGUUGUAAACUUCUUUGAUCGGGGACGAAAAUGACGGUACCCGAGGAACAAGCCACGGCUAACUACGUGCCAGCAGCCGCGGUAAUACGUAGGUGGCAAGCGUUGUCCGGAAUUACUGGGCGUAAAGGGCGUGUAGGCGGGGGGACAAGUCAGAUGUGAAAUACCGCGGCUUAACUGCGGGGGUGCAUCUGAAACUGUUCUUCUUGAGUGUCGGAGAGGAAAGUGGAAUUCCCAGUGUAGCGGUGAAAUGCGUAGAGAUUGGGAGGAACACCAGUGGCGAAGGCGGCUUUCUGGACGAUAACUGACGCUGAG
rnacentral:rRNA from 1 species